rnacentral:rRNA from 1 species
GACGAACGCUGGCGGCGUGCUUAACACAUGCAAGUCGAACGGUAAGGCCCUUCGGGGUACACGAGUGGCGAACGGGUGAGUAACACGUGGGUGAUCUGCCCUGCACUUCGGGAUAAGCCUGGGAAACUGGGUCUAAUACCGGAUAGGACCACUGCCUGCAUGGGUGGUGGUGGAAAGCUUUUGCGGUGUGGGAUGGGCCCGCGGCCUAUCAGCUUGUUGGUGGGGUGAUGGCCGACCAAGGCGACGACGGGUAGCCGGCCUGAGAGGGUGACCGGCCACACUGGGACUGAGAUACGGCCCAGACUCCUACGGGAGGCAGCAGUGGGGAAUAUUGCACAAUGGGCGCAAGCCUGAUGCAGCGACGCCGCGUGAGGGAUGACGGCCUUCGGGUUGUAAACCUCUUUCAACACCGACGAAGCGCAAGUGACGGUAGGUGCAGAAGAAGGACCGGCCAACUACGUGCCAGCCGCCGCAGUAA